AUGCUUCGCGAAGAAGCAGACGAGAGGGUCGAUUAUAGAGCCGCCAAAGCCGACAGCCGCGCGAUGAAUAAUCAUCGCAAGGGAGGAUUAAAUUAUCUUCAUCUCGUUCGCAAGUAUUCCGAUACUGAAAACAGAGUGCAGAAAAGAAAAGAAAUCUCUGGUGAGGUUUCGGAGGAAGAGGCAGAAGAUGAAGAACAAGGAGUCGACGAAGAUCAGAGCGAAGAAGAAGAUACAAAAGUUCAAAAAGUAGGUACAAAUCAAGAAAAAGAAACGAACGAAAACGAACAGGAAGCUGCGCACAUUGGGCAGUGCGCAAUUUGUCACAUUAUCAUCAAUGACGCAAAUCUCGGUGGAAGCGUCGCUGACUCCGAGCAGGAUCCACGAUGUUCCGAGGGCUAUUUGUUAUGUCAACGUUGCGUAAGAAACUUUUCAAUCCGACCAGGUGUGGAGCAUCCUCAGCCUCGAAGAACACCUUCAUACGCGAGUUUCUUCCCGACCAGAGACAACGAUCGCGGCGAUCGUAUACGUUUGAGAACAUAUGACCCGCGUCGUGAUCAGUGGGCAAAUAACUUCAACAGAACAAUGUCCAGCGAGGCGAAUAACGAAACGUUAGAUUAUGAGUCAGACGCUGUCUCGUACGUCGCCGAUCGCUAUCGAGAUGAUCCUCGGCGAGAGGAGCAAAUGGAAAAUUGCGGAAGGCAGUGUCAACAACAACACGACUAUCGUAAUCUGAUGACAACAACGACGACGAGGAGAAAUAGCACAGCGGAUCGAUACAUCUCUGAGAUUAAGGUCAAAAGUCCCUCUCUGGUAUCUUCCAUCGACUGCUCCCGCAGACCCAUACAUUGUCCACGCCUAGACUGCUCGGUGAACGUCGCCUUCUCGGCGCUCACACAUCACUUUCUCUUCGAUCACCCUGAGGUCCCCAUUCUUAGCGUCGAGCCCGGUGCCGAGAGCACGCUUAUUAUCAGCUAUGGAGCUCUUUCCUACAACUCUAGUCGAUGCCUAGCUCUCUUAUUGGUGUCUGGAAAGCUCUCAGAUUCCUCAGCGAGAUUGUUCGGUGGUAUUCAAAUAAACCCCAAGUAUCGAAAUCGGUUGCCUCUGCCAGUGUUGGCAGCGCGUCUGCACAGCAGUCGCAAUUACGCGUGUUGCGAAAAGGUGUACGCCGGUGGAGAGGGUCAGUGCGAGAAAGACAUGAUCAUUGCCUGGGUGGCGGGAUUAGACGUCGGCGACACAGCUGACAGACUUCGGUGUAGUAUUCAGGCUGUCGACAGCAUCGAGAACGGGGGAUCGCUCCGUUCGCUCACGUACACGGGUCCUGUAAUGUCUCUGAGAGCCGCUCAACGUCCACAUGACGUCUUCUUGGCUGGCGACUGUAUAGUUCUUCACGAGGGAUUGAUCAGCCACAUCACUUCCGGCUGUACCAGUCUCAAUGUAAAUGUUAUUGUACACUAAACUUGUUCCGUUAACACAUGUAUAUCCUCUUAUCUCUUAUGUAAUUGUCUUAAAAAUGUAAGCCAUCAAAUAUAAAUCAUAAAUCUACAGGAAAA